GUGCGGCUGUCUUCGCGUUUGCCUUGCUGGGUGAUUCCGCUUGUUUGUCGGCUGCGUGAGUGCCUAGAGCUUUUCGGUGGAAGAUGCCGGACAAUAACUUCGCAGAGCGCAGCGAGGAGCAGGUGUCUGGUGCUAAAGUCAUCGCCCAGGCCCUGAAAACGCAAGAUGUGGAGUACAUAUUUGGCAUCGUAGGCAUCCCAGUGACCGAAAUCGCCAUUGCUGCCCAGCAGCUAGGCAUCAAGUACAUCGGGAUGAGGAAUGAGCAGGCGGUGAGUAUGGACGCAGGUGGCUGAAUCCGUUACUGGGAAUGAUCAAUAAUAGCGGUAGGUAUGCAUUGCAAACACUCAGAUAGCACUUAUCACUCUUCUGCUGCUUUACAUAUAUCAUAUCAAUCACUGUUGAAUAUUAACUGUUGUUAUACCUAGUUGACAGAUGAGAAAAGACACAGGUUAAGUAAAACUUGCCUUUGGUGACACAGCUGGUAGUAGCAGAGCCAGGGUUUGAACCCACGUAUUCUGGGCUAAGUGCAUGCUCUUACUACUAUACUGUAUGUCAUG
rnacentral:sRNA from 1 species